rnacentral:rRNA from 1 species
UGGUGGAGCGAUUUGUCUGGUUAAUUCCGUUAACGAACGAGACCACAGCCUACUAAUUAGUUGGUAUAAAGUUUCUUUGUAUCAUACUUCUUAGAGGGACUAUCGGAUUUAAGCCGGUGGAAGGGUGUGGCAAUAACA